AUACGGAGGGGGCAAGCGUUGUUCGGAAUUACUGGGCGUAAAGGGCGCGUAGGCGGUAUGUUACGUUAGAUGUGAAAGCCCCGGGCUCAACCUGGGAGGUGCAUUUAAAACGGGCAAACUUGAAUACGGUAGAGGAUGGUGGAAUUCCCAGUGUAGAGGUGAAAUUCGUAGAUAUUAGGAAGAACACCGAUGGCGAAGGCAGCCAUCUGGGCCGUUAUUGACGCUGAGGCGCGAAAGCGUGGGGAGCAAACAGGAUUAGAUACCCGAGUAGUCC
rnacentral:rRNA from 1 species